CGAUGGAAUGUUAACUUCUAAAUCAAGAUUAUUAAGUCAAUUAUCUCGAACCCAUGAAGUAAAUCUUCAGAUAAACUUCACUUCUCUGCGGCAGGUCUAGUUCAUGAAUGAAUUGGCAUGUGUUUCCUGAGAGAGAGAAUGAUUUUAGGAUAAGUAGAAGUAAAACAUAAUAUAUGCCUGCGAAUUCAGCUAUCAUAAGAAAAGUGAAGUUGAUGUGAUAUUACAUGGGCUUGCGUGCUUAAUGUAGAUAAUUCAGAUAGUUAGGAUCUGCAUUUCAGGAUAAUGGUAUGACAUAUGAAGAUGUAACAGAUAGAACUAAAAUCGAAUGGUAGAAAUGGAGAAGUGCUGUUGGAGUGUUACGCAAAAUGAGGAUACCUACCAAAGCGAAAUGCAACUUUUAUAUUGUUGUAUAACAAUGUUAUAUGAGAGUAAAAGUUGGGCCUUUAAGGUUCAAUAGAUGAGUGUCGCAGAAAUGCAAAUCUUAAGAUAGAUGUGCAAUCAUACAACAUUAUAAUAAUCACAUUCGACAAAAGGUCCAAAGUGGCACUAGCAUAUACCUGAUAAAAUGGGAGGUUGCUUGAGAUGGUUUGGUCAUUAUGUUUGUAUGUACACCUCCCGAUAUACCUGUCAGUUGGUGUGAAACCAUGAUAAUUGAAAGUGUGGACGUAAAAUCACAAGGAAGAAAGUUGUCUCUAAAAACCUACAAUCUCUUGAAUUCCAUGCAGACUUAGCGAAAAAAUAUAAUGCAUUGGUAAAAAAUUAUCUAUAGAGGCAAUACCAACUAGUUUGGACUAAGACAGAGUCAUGUCAGUUAGCUCUUAAGUCCCGUUUCUUCUGGAAAUCCUUUUAAUAUUACUAGAGAUUUUUCUGAAAUGUAGAAAACAUCUAGUGCUAAAAAAACCUAAAUUAUUGAAUAUUAAAAUUUAACUUGUCAAAAAUGGAGCGUAAUGAACAGUGAGAAUUAUAUCAUGUAACUGGCACCAACUAGCUUAGGAUUGAGGUGUAGUUGUACUGUUGCUUCAUUUACCCCUCUUCCCCAAACACCUCGAAUAAUGAAAAAACCUAAAAGUAACUUAGAGAAGGAAAACUUCGUUAUGACUCCUUUCAUCCUACAUUACAGGACAUUCGCCUUUACAUGAAGGAAGAUGAGAAACCUUCAUUUGCUGAACUUUCUGAAAGAGCACAUUUGCGAAGAGAAGUUGCUAUCGGAUAUGUGAAGCACAACAAGAAGGUAUAGAAUCUUGAUUUGCUUCUGAAAAUAAAAAGGGAUGUAGAAGCUCAACUUGGUGCCUAAUCCAUUGCAGGUUAUCAACCCAAUCCCGAAAUCAGAACCCCUUUCUCUUGAACCGGGUGAUUUGCUGAUAGUGAUAUCAGAACUUGAAGGAGAACAACCCGUGAUCACAGUUAAUUAACAAACAAACAACAACAACGCCUCAAUCCCAAACAACUCAAGGAAAAUAAUUGAGCUUGCACCUUACUCAUUACACCAACUACGAUGAAUGCCAGGUCGUUGUAUAGGUUUUCUAUUGGAUCGUCAGUUCUUGGCUUCUUAUCGGUUGCUGAAAAAGAAUGAAGAAAAGAAACAAGGAGCAAGCAUGAUUCAAAGUGUUCGCGAAUGUUGCAGAUAAUAGGAAGUGCAAGUUACAGGAAAUGUAUAGGAAAUAUGAACAUCAAAGUUAGAAAAGUUUGCAAAGAAAAAAUCAAAGUUGGAUAGAACUAAAGGUUUCUUUCUUUUUUUUUUACUGUUUUUUCUUCCACAGUUGGUUAAGAGGGAAAAUCUCCAUUUGGGAAAAGAGUCCCACAUUUUAUAGAAGAACCAUCAACUCAAAGGAGAGGUUUUAGAAACACUUAAAGCCAAAUGUGAUUUCAUUUUUUAAAGGGGUGAUGGUGCUGAGAUCACUUCAUUUUACAAGUUUUUGAUCAAGAGAAAUGAUGCUAUACUGUACAAAGGAUGAUUCUUGAUAACUUGUACUCUGUGUGAGAAUGAUUUCCCACAAUGUAUAAUAAAAUCCUUUUUUGGUUCCAUAGUAAUGACAUUUUUUCAUAACUUCUAUUGCCUUUUAUUUUACUUCUAAUUUUAUUCUAUAUAAAAUUAGAUUGAGUUGAGCUUAAAUAGAGCAACAUGGACGAUGAGGAUUGAGAUAGCCGACUCUUACUUACUUGAGAUUGAGGUUUAGCUAUUGUAACAACGACCUUUUUUGCUACCAACCUUUACCCCAUUUAGGGUAUCUCCCACCUUUACCCAUUUGGGGAGCUCUAACCUUUACCCCAUUUUUGGUCCUCAUAAUGGGGAUUUUCCCAUUUUGGGGACAACUUACUCCGACCAUUCCCCCAUUUCUCCCCCCAAAAGAGAAUAUUCUUUUUUAUAUUCUUCUCUCUUUUCUAUAUUAUAUUAUUAUCUUUCAUUUCAAUUUUAUUUUUUUAAUUUCCAUUAAAAAAAAUCCAUCUUUUAUUUUCAUUGAUUUGUAAUUUCCAUUAAAACAAUUCCAUCAAAUUUUAAAUAAUAUAAUUUGUAAGCAAUUAUUAUAGAUUAACUAAUAAUUCAAAUAAAAGUGAAAUCAUUGUAGGACAUCCGAUAUCUACGAUGAAACUGACGAUCAUUAAAGUGGGGAUUAUUUGAAAAAUAAUCGAGAAAUAAAUUAUUAUCAGCACCUUCAUGAUCUCGAUUGAUUACCAAAUGACCUGAACGGAGCCUACUCUGAUAGGAUCAUUAUUUCGAUUUUCUUGCAAACAUUGCAACACAUAAUUAUUCAUCUGAAUUGCUUGCUUGAACAUUUCACUCAAUACUAUAAUGAUUUUGGUGUAUCUGGAAACGACAUAUCUCCCUACUAAGUUAUUAUGCUAUUUAUCACACCUCCUUUUUACUACACCCCGAAGGGUGCAAGGGAGUUUUUUCAAUUUAAGUGACAAUCGAAACGAGAUUAUUUAAUUUAAAUCAGAGACGCACUUGGGAUAAUUUAUGGUGUCCCAAGUCACCGGUUCAAAUCCCGAAUCAAGGAAAAAAUUGAUUCUGUAUUACAGUCCGCGAAAAUAGAAAUCUGGGUAAGAAAUUCUGUUAACCCGGGAGAAGGUGUUAGGUAUUCCCGGGUUCCGUGGUUCUAGCACGGUCGCUUAAACUAUUAUAAUUGGCCUAAUUAUCUGACUUAUUAUACGUUUUAAACUUAUUGUGCAUUUUUAGCCUUUAUAACCGCUUUUUAAUUAUUUUAAACCGCUUUUAGGAUUUAUGGAAUUAUUUCUUGAACAAGUUACGAUUGUCGUACACUUGCCGUUUUGGCACACACCGCGAAUCAUGCUACAUGAAAUGCACCCGGGAUUCGCGACAUGUUUAUUUUAUUAUUGUUUGAAGUUGUCAUGAUCGGGUCACAUGAAAUGCACCCCCGAAUUUGGGAAUUAGGUAUCAUAACUACGUCACGGGAACCGUGCCCAUUGCCACGAUAAUCUAUUAACAAUCGUGCCUAAAUCAAACUAGGUUGUUUAUAAAUUAAUUUUCUAAAGCUAAUUUAAGAUUAUUUUGAAGGCCAUGUUAUGGAAAUUAAUAUAGAAAAAAGAAAUAGAUUAUUUACAGAAAGAUGAAACUAGCUUGUGAAUUUUUAUUAGCUCUUGGCCAACCAGACUUGAAUUAUCUAAAUCCAAACGGCCAAAAAUCUUCAUUGCUUCAAAUCAAAAUAUGAGGUUCGGUUGCUAAACAAUUUUAAAACAAAAGGCUCAAGUAUGGAAAUAAACCAUCUACUAAUUGAAUGCAUAAAAAAGAGAUGGAUCAAUCAUGCCAAAUAAACAUCAGAGAAAGAAGCUUCACAAUUGCGUAUAUUUACUCUAAUUUGUGUUAUACGUAAUGUGUAAUGCUAAAAGAGAAUCCUUACUCCAUCACUUGAGUGCACAAACACUUCAAUCUGAUAUUUCAAGAUACUAUAGCAAAAGUAAAAGCAAAAGCAAAAGCUAUUGUUUUAGCCGCUUUUAAUAUUUCGAAAAAAAUUCAAAGUUAUUUAAAACACAUCGUAAUCCACGCUAUAUAAAUGCACCCGUGGUUCGCAACACAUUUUAUUUAACGUUGUUGAGAUUUGGAUUUGGGUCACACAAAUGUGCACCCGGGUUUAGGAAGGUAAAUUAUUAAAAUAACGCGCCUACAACAACUCUGCACUUGCAACUUUGCGAGGGCCAUGGAAAAUCAACUAAGUGGCAUGCCUCGAAUUCUAAGGAUUAAAAUACUAAUUAAGCGAGGGUCAUGUAUUUUAAGAUUGAAAUUAUUCCAAAGGGCUUUACUCGACUAAAACAAACCACAGAUAUUCAAGAUUGUCUCCUAAACUACUUUGAGAUUAUUGAGAGGCCCUAACUUUAUGAACAUUGAUUUGCGAAAAAAAUGAUAAGAACAAAUAUUUUUCACAUGAGUUCAAUUAAGUAAAUCUACUGAUUCAAGGGAUAGAGCUUAUAUAAAGACAAGAAAAUAAACAAAAUCAUAUCUAGGAAUAGUAACUCUCGUUAUACAACCAAAAAUCAAUGAAUGUCUCAACAUCUUGCAAUCACUAAAUUCUAUAUUUUGCAUAUUAGUAAUUAAGUGCUCACUGUUAAUAUGACAAAGACUAACCAAAUGAACACUAUAACAAUUAAAUUAAAAAGAAGACGAUGCCAUGAUCUAAAUCCUUCAACAAAAUAAUUACACUCAACCUCCAAUUAAUCCACGCAUUACAGAGAGUACGAACUAACAUGGAAAAUCAAAUUAACUACACAAAAUCAGUUUGUAUCAUUAUCACCCCCCAGUAUAGAGAAACGGGAUUUGCUAUGUUAACAAAAUUCUUGCUGGCUUAUAGAAGAAACAGUGAACUCGAUCCCAAGGACCAGAACAUAAACAACUCCCAAGCACUAACUCUAAAGGUUAAGGCUAAAAUAUCAAACGCAAUACUAUAUCCAUACGACAAUUAACUUUAAAAAAAUGGGCAACAUUACUGUAAUUUCUAGCCAAGAAUUUUAGCCUUAAGGUGACAGAAUCCGUGAGUUUGCAAGACAUGAAAAAUAAAAUAUAUAAAAGAAAACAUAGGAGCAUUUUUUAUUUCAGGCAAACAAACAUUCCACCACUAAUUUGCAAUAAUCCAUGUCUAGAUUCAAUUUUGAAGGUUGAGUUGUACCUGGUAUGUGAAGAAAAGGAAAAUGAAGCAACGGAAGGAGCUAGCAUUCAGUAACAGAGAAGUAGCAAAAUCAGCAAAGGCUCCAGCGACUGGUGGAGCAAGGAGCGAUUUUUUUUUAAACGCUUGUCCCCCUUUUAAGCUCUGAUGAUCAGCCCUUUAAAGGGCACUAAUUAGUGUCAUUUCCACUACCAAAUUAU
rnacentral:lncRNA from 1 species